GGGGUUAGCCUGAGCUUGGAUGGAGUUGAGUGAGGUAGUAUUAAGAGAUUUGAGGAGCCUGUGACAUCACUGGGAGGGCUUAUGACAUCAUUAGCUACUAGGAGGUAGCAAGUAUCAGGUUACUCUUUUGGCUGGAGAAGGGGCAUGAUGGGAAGAAGAAGCCUGUCCUUUGUUGGGAGAAGUCAUAUUUUAAAAUGGAGGCUGCUAUUCCAUGUGACAGCCAUCUUAAGAUGAGGAGAACCACGCCUGCUCCCGACCCAGCAACCAUCGCUCAAGCACCGGGAAGGUAGGCCGGCCUGAUCCACGGUGUGAAGGAGAACCACGCCUGCUCCCGACCCAGCAGCCAUCGCUCAAGCGCUGGGAAGGUACUUCGUGGGUGCCCCUGAACCCCCAUAAUCCCCCCCCGG
rnacentral:lncRNA from 1 species